rnacentral:rRNA from 1 species
GAUGAACGCUGGCGGCGUGCUUAACACAUGCAAGUCGAACGGGACUUGUUAAGUUGAAACUUCGGUCGAUUCUUUUCAAGUCUAGUGGCGGACGGGUGAGUAACGCGUGGGUAACCUGCCUCACACUGGGGGAUAACAGUCAGAAAUGACUGCUAAUACCGCAUAAGCGCACAGCAUCGCAUGAUGCAGUGUGAAAAACUCCGGUGGUGUGAGAUGGACCCGCGUUGGAUUAGCUAGUCGGUGGGGUAACGGCCCACCAAGGCGACGAUCAGUAGCCGGCCUGAGAGGGUGAACGGCCACAUUGGGACUGAGACACGGCCCAG